AACGAACGUUGGCGGCGUGGAUUAGGCAUGCAAGUCGAGCGAAUCCCAGCAAUGGGGGAAGCGGCGAAAGGGGCAGUAAGGCAUGGGUAACCUACCCUGGGGACUGGGAUAGCCCUUCGAGAGAAGGGGUAAUACCGGGCGACGUGCCGAGGAGGCAUCUCUUUGUCACCAAAUGAAUUUCGCCCUGGGAGGGGCCCAUGUGAUAUUAGCUAGUUGGUGGGGUAACGGCCCACCAAGGCGAAGAUGUCUAGCGGGGGUGAGAGCACGACCCGCGCCACUGGCACUGAGACACUGGCCAGACACCUACGGGUGGCUGCAGUCGAGGAUCUUCGGCAAUGGGCGCAAGCCUGACCGAGCGACGCCGCGUGUGCGAUGAAGGCCUUCGGGUUGUAAAGCACUGUCGAGAGGGAGAAAAGCGCAAGCUUGAUCUAUCUCUGGAGGAAGCACGGGCUAAGUUCGUGCCAGCCGCCGCGGUAAUAC
rnacentral:rRNA from 1 species